rnacentral:lncRNA from 1 species
UUGCGCCUCUCCUGCAGUCUGAUUGGCACCGGCUCCCAUUCCGGCUCCAGCCUCCAAUCCGACCCCCAUUUCGGCUGCAGCCUCGGACCUAGCUCCGGCCCUCGGUCUAUCCGGUUGCAUCCUCCCUCCCUGUUCCGGAUCUUAUCUUGCGCCAGCGCCUACUCCAGGAUCCCGUAGCCAGACCUCAAGCCAUGGCUGGUCCCUUCUCCCGUCUGCUGUCCGCCCGCCCGGGACUCAGGCUCCUGGCUUUGGCCGGAGCGGGGUCUCUAGCCGCUGGGUUUCUGCUCCGACCGGAACCUGUACGAGCUGCCAGUGAACGACGGAGGCUGUAUCCCCCGAGGUAUUUGCUGACCUGUUUGACCCUGUGAUCCAAGAGCGACACAAUGGAUAUGACCCCCGGACAAUGAAGCACACCACGGAUCUAGAUGCCAGUAAAAGUCAGAACUGGCCGAAGCAUCCGAGGACUCAGUCUGCCUCCAGCUUGCACUCGAGCAGAGCGACGAGAGGUGGAACGUGUUGUGGUGGAUGCACUGAGUGGCCUGAAG